GAGAGAGACAUGCGCGCAUAUCAAUAAGCGGAGGAAAAGGAAACUAACAAGGAUUCCCCUAGUAACGGCGAGUGAAGCGGGAAGAGCUCAAAUUUGAAAUCUUAAAGGGUUUCCCUUUACGAAUUGUAGUUUAAAGAAGUGUUUUCUGUUGAGGUUUUGGUAAAAGUUCUUUGGAAUAGGGACAUCAUAGAGGGUGAGAAUCCCGUAUUUGACCAUUACUUUCAGCUUUGUGAUACACUUUCAAAGAGUCGGAUUGUUUGGGAAUGCAGUCCAAAAUGGGUGGUAAAUUUCAUCUAAAGCUAAAUAUUGGCGAGAGACCGAUAGCGAACAAGUACCGUGAGGGAAAGAUGAAAAGAACUUUGAAAAGAGAGUUAAACAGUACGUGAAAUUGUCAAAAGGGAAGCGUUUGACACCAGUGUUGUUUUUCUGAAAAUCAAUUAAAGAACUGUUUAUGCUAAGUUGUUUAGACUUUAUCAGCUAUCUGUUUAGUUUUGAGCUUUUCUUUAAUGCACUUUUCAGUUAACAAGUCAACAUCAAUUUCUUUUGCUGUAAAAAAGCUUGAGGAAGGUGGCUUGAGAUUCGUCUUAAGUGUUUAUAGCCUCUUGCCUAUGCAGUCGGAGAGAUUGAGGUCUGCAGCGUAGAUCCUUCGGGGCUAAAUGCAUUUGUGCUAAGUUAUAGCAUUUUAUAGACAACUUGUUGACUAUAAUUUGUCUUGUAGCUUACUCGCUUAUGUUAUUUUACCUACGCUUAGGAUGUUGAGCGCAUGUCUCUCUCU
rnacentral:rRNA from 1 species